rnacentral:rRNA from 1 species
AUUGAACGCUGGCGGCAGGCCUAACACAUGCAAGUCGAGCGAGCGGCGGACGGGAGAGUAAUGUAUGGGGAUUUGCCCGAUAGAGGGGGAUAACUACUGGAAACGGUGGCUAAUACCGCAUACCACCCGAUGACCACUUUGGGGACUAGCUAGUAGGUGGGGUAUAGGCUCACCUAGGCGACGAUCUCUAGCUGGUCUGAGAGGAUGAACAGCCACACUGGGACUGAGACACGGCCCAGACUCCUACGGGAGGCAGCAGUGGGGAAUAUUGCACAAUGGGCGAAAGCCUGAUGCAGCCAUGCCGCGUGUAUGAAGAAGGCCUUAGGGUGGUAAAGGACUGUCAGCGGGGAGGCGUUACCCACAGAAGAAGCACCGGCUAACUCCGUGCCAGCAGCCGCGGUAAUUC